AUCUACAGACAUGCCACCCUGAACAUGCGCGAUCUCGUCUGAUCUCGCAAGCUAAGCAGGGUCAGUCCUGGUUAGCACCUGGAUGUGGAGACCACCUAGGAAUGACAGGUCCUGUAGGCG
rnacentral:rRNA from 1 species